rnacentral:lncRNA from 1 species
UGAAUUCUGGCCUCCCUGGGCCCAGAGCCUGACUCCACCACUUACCAGCUGGAUGAUGGGGUGGAGAGUGGAAACAGGACAUAAGAGAGAGAAAAUUCCACAGAAGCAAGAACUUGGAGCCACAAGUGACUAUGGGAGGGUUGCUGGCUUUACCGGGUGUGCUGACACGGCAGGUGGACUGAUGGAGCGAUAGUGGUGCGCAUCCCCGCAUCCGCUGCAUGGCGCACUCACGUGAAGCUGUUUCCUUGGAAGCUGUUAUUUACAGCACCAGAUGCUCUGUGUGUCUCCCUCUGCCCUCUGAUUGUCGGUCUGCCUAUGUUCCUGGCCCAGGACCCAGAGAGGCCGCAUGGCUUCCAGCUGUGCUGGGGCAUCUGUUUGCGUUCCUCCCCCUCCCAGCUUGUGGGCUCUCACCGCACAACCAGGACUGGCCCUGAGCAGAACUCUGCACUAGGCAGUUUUUCCUCCCUGAUUUCCCCUCAGGCAGCCAGUGCCAUCACGCCCUCAUGCCCUCCUGUCCUCAGCUCACUCCACCCAACCCGCCCCCAUCAAACCUCAUGGUAGGAAAGCAUCUGCUGCUCAAACUCACCGAGUUAGCAAUGGCUGAUAAGGCAGGGUGACCUCUCCCUAAG